rnacentral:rRNA from 1 species
AGUGAACGCUGGCGGUAGGCCUAACACAUGCAAGUCGAACGGGAGCACAUUAAUCGAUUGCUCUUACGGGUGGCGAGUGGCGGGCGGGUGCGGAAUACAUCGGAAUCUCCUUUUUCGUGGGGUGUAACUUAGGCAAACUUACGCUAGUACCGCAUACGACCUACGGGUGAAAGCAGGUGCUCUUCGUACCUUGCGCGAUUGAAUGAGCGGAUGUCGGAUUGGCUAGGUGGCGGGGUAAAGGCCCACCAAGUCGACGCACCGUAGCUGGUCUGCGAGAAGGAUCAGCCACACUGGAACUGAGACACGGUCCAGACUCCGACGGGAGGCAGGAGUGGGGAAUAUUGGACGAUAGGCGCAGGCCUGAUCCAGCAAUGCCGCGUGGGUGAAGAAGGCCUUCGGGUUGUAAAGUACUUUUGUUGCGAAAGAAAAGCAGCAGGUUAAUACCACGAUGUUCUGACGGUACCCAAAGAAUAAGCACCGGCUAACUUCGUG